GCAGUUGGCCAGAUGCCGAACCACCACCAGGGGUGGUUGGCAAACUGCAGCCACCCAAGGGGCUGGAGUAGUUUUCAAACAGUUUGACUCUUUUCAUCAACACCAGCACCACAUUAUCCCAGGAGGAAAAGCAGACGCGUGACAGAGUCAGAGAGCAGGCAUAGAGUGCUGUGGCAGUCAGCCAGUGCCCACAUCAACACCAAGGAGAGUCCUGCGGGUGCUGUGCAAGGCCGGGG
rnacentral:lncRNA from 1 species